rnacentral:misc_RNA from 1 species
ACAUACCCUCGGGUGAUUUCAGGCCUCCACCAUAACUCACAGUAGUGCCGACGCUGAUUCCAUGUUUUUGCGGAGCCACCAACGCCAAAUAAAAUAUGGGAUACAUUUGUUUCUUGAUAGCUAUCAUCGAAAGCAUUAUUACCCUUGGUUAACUUCCGGUGACCGGAUAAUAAAACACCAUUGCAUUCAGGACAACGCAGCCACUGAGAUUGGUUAGAGAA